UUAAGAAAGUUAGUCUAACAAAGACAGUUGAUUUCGACUCAACAGAUCAUAGCCAUCCCUAUGACUUUCUU
rnacentral:tRNA from 1 species